rnacentral:misc_RNA from 2 species
UGUAGGAGUGAGCCUGCUCGCGAUAGCGGUGUGUCAGCCAAUGCAAAUAUGUCUGACCGACCGCCAUCGCGAGCAGGCUCACUCCUACA